GAGAUAUCAGAAGACUGAAGGAGUUGUGAUGGAUGUACUGUAUGAGAAAAUGGAAGUGCUGGAAAUAAACUUGGGGAAAUCAUAAAAUCGUAGGAGGUGGUUAGAUGAGUUCAUUGCUUUCCUCAGUGCAUGAAUUUCUAUGGCCAGUCACAGGAAAAGGCUUUCCUUAGGAACAUUUCUGCUGUGCAAGUUUCCCCUGUCAGUGCUCCAAGCCCAACUGUGACCACAUUGCUGCAGCUGGCGCUGGGCUGGAUAUGAUCACCCCAAAACUUCAGAGAAACAGAGUCCAUUUAGAGGGGGCUUUCAGCUGCAGUUACAGUGCUGAGGAAAUGCCUGCUUCUUAAAGACGUACAGUGGUAUGUAGCUCCAAGCCAGCGCCCUGAUUGCUGUUACUCACACUGCAAUAUUGGACUCUGUGCCCUCCUUCUCUUCCUAAAAGGGCUACUCCUAGUCCUCAUGAGACAGUGCAGUCUGGGAAGGCGACUGAGAAAUAAAAGAUCCUCUGCUAAUCCCAAAAGAAAACAAACACUGCAGGUAUCUGCCUCUUCUCCCGAAGCCUUUAGAAGCUGUACUUCAUAGUGGAAAGGUAGUAGCCAAAGGCCCUGCAAACCGUCAUGUGUUUUUCUCUUCCACUUGCCAGUUGAUUGACUUAGAAAGGAGACACCACCACUCAGAGCCUUCCUCAGUUUGUGAGUCACUCUCUCCUCUCCCACCAGGCAGCUGGGAUCAGCAGACAUUAGGUAAUUAGCAACGUUGGCAGAAAACCUGCUGAAGCUGGACCACCAUGCUGUAGUUUCUCAGAGAAAUAAUUAUUCCUAACUCUGUAACAGGAUGAAAUGAAAAUUCUCUGGAGAAGAUGCUGGGAGCAACACUUGUCUUUUUGCAUUAGGAAGCACUCGAACAAAAUGUUGUGACAGCCAGGCCUAGUUCCUGAGAUUUAUUUUUUUCUGAGGACUAUCUGUCUGCACUGGUUUCUGGAGAGGCUCAUUUCAUCUCCAUCAGGGAGGACAGAAGAGUGCUCAAGUACUUCAGUCUGGCUUGAUGCAACCAAGACAUCAAACUCACGCUCAGGUUUCAGCCUCAGAGGUCGGAACUAAAAGCAGCUGAGAAUCCAGAUCUUCAUCUUCCGAAGAUAACUGAGCACAUUUCUCCUCCCCAGGAUGCUGGAUAAUCUGUUUGUGACCACGGAGCUGGCAAGUCUUAUCAGUCAGCCUUAUCAGCAUCUUUUAGGCUACCCUGAGCAUAUGCAGUAGCAAAGGGCCAUUCAGGAAGAGCUGCAGAGAUUUGUAUGUUGUGACUCCUAAACAGCCCCAGUCUCCCAGCCCAGUCAAGGUGGUCAUGCACAGAAUUUUAAACACCAGAGAUACUGAGGAGCAUAGGUGUGAAGAACACGCCGUAUUAUUCUCUUAAAAAUCAGUGUUUUAAAUGUGGCCUAAUGUAUUCCUAAGAUAUUUGUGUUCUUGUGUUGUUGCUUCAAAAUAUAGUGAAAAUAACAGGCAAAGAAAUAUAUAUGUGGGAUUGAUUAAACAUUCAAGAUGAAACUCUGUGCUCUUGAUCAGUUUUCCUGAUAGUUCUAUAUCUCUUGCAAUUCUUUAAUUUAUCCCUUCUGAUACGUGUCAGCAGAACUACGUGGAGAUUUUGUUCUGCUCUUUAUUACUCCAAGGUCAAAAUCUAUGAAGUAAGAUAAAUAAUUUAGUGAUUUUGCCCUUUAUACUGAGAGAUGUUAACAGGUACAAUGCAGCCAGGAACGUCUUCAAUUAUUUAAUUCACACAGUCAAAUGAAAGGAACACUGCUGAAACACUUGCCUAAAUUAUAUCUGUAUUUAUUUAAGAUGUUUUGCUAUCAAGCAGUGUUAAAAGCAGUACGAGUCUUAUUAAAACAACUACUUUUAUCUUGGCAAUCUUCCUUCUCUACUAACACCCUUUAAUGGUUUAUUGAAGGGCUUCCCCUGUCAGGUAAAAAAAAGUCCCAAAGUUACCUGCUUUACCGUCCAUAUUUUCAUCAUCCGUAUUAAAUAAUGCAAUCACCACAAGCAUUAUAAAUUGUAAGAAUCAAUGCUGAGCAGGGACGGCAGUCCAGCCCUAAAGCCAAGGCUGUAUUCCAACAGUUUCAGUAUAGAACUUCUGGCUGGGGCACAGAUGUUCAUUUUCAUGCUGUGAUCUCCAUUCUCCUACUCCCCUUCGCCCAGCCGCGGUUGGCACUGCAGACACGUCUUUAUUGUAACUUUGUACUUGUGUGGAUUGCUUUAACAAGUAUUGGCAAGUCGAGUAUAUGACGGUUGUAAAUUUAGCAGUAAAUAAAAGGCCUUAGGUAACCUUUUCCCCUUUUCUGGGGUUUAUUAUAUAUUGCUUUGAUUAUUUGAUUAAUAUCUAAACAGUAUCAUCUUUGUAACAUGCUGCCACAAAUAUUUGAGGGAGGAUCAUUUCAUCUAGCUGAAAUACCUGCAGACAUGCCCCAGGACAGUCAUCACUACAUGCUAGCCAUUUGUCUGCUCCAGGUGUGGCUUGGUGCUCUCCAUACAGAGCCUGCAGUGCUGGGCCACCUGCUUCUGGCUUGUGAGAACUCUGGGGGUGACAGAGGGCAGGUCUACCAACCUCCGUGCCUCCUGCUGAAAUGGCCACCUGGGAGAGAAGACUGCAAAAUUCCCAAAGACAGAGGAUCGAAGAAAGAAGAGCAUGACUCAAGAGCCGAAUGAAUAACACAGCUGUCUAAAGGAUGGGGAAUAUGGGGACUGCUCCCUGCUACGGAAAUCUUCAUGGCUCCGGAUGGGUUUUUGACCUGAACUGCAAAAGCAAUCCGAGAACGUGGACCCAAAACCUAGGCGUUCUGGUAAAGUCUUCUGAUCAUCAAGGUACAAAAUCCUGCUUUCUCACGUUUGCUGCCACUAGGCCUUUGUCUUGAAGAAACAGGAGCAACUUCUUUGUCUUCUAUAGGUUAGAAGAUGAAAGCUGUCCUAAUCUCUGCUUUCUUUGAUCACUUAUCAAACAAGAACCUGCCACCUACCAGGAUCUUUUAAUAGCAGUGCAAACAGCUCCUAAAGCUGUUGAGGAAUGCUGUUUGCUCCACACCUGUGGAAAUGGAAGGAAUUUGUCAGGAAAAAAACCAAGACAGAAAAUUUUCUACAUUUCAAAGCUGCUUGAAUUUUAUAAUGUUCUCUUUUUACUUUAAAAUAAUGCUUUCGAUAGUUCUGUGGAAUCUUUUGUUUUCCCUUAACAGAAGCAGCCUCCACUCAAUAUUAGUCAAUAUAUAUUAAAUAUAUAUAUAUCAACAAACCAACAAUGUCCAGCUCUGCAAUAUAUGUGUUAUCUCUUUCAAAAUGAAGAAAUAAAUGAUACCGUUUUUCACAUACACGAUCAUUUUCAAAGUUUUCUUUUCUUUUCCCACAAGACUGUACUGUCAUACUGAAAGCUGGUAUAUUCAAGUGCUGAAAUUGAACCUAUGGUAGCAUGGCCAGAAAAAAAAAAUAUAUAUGUGAGAAAUUAGUAAAUUUCCAUUGCCCUUCUGUAAUAUGGAUAAUCUAAGUAACAUUUUAACAUAAACUGCCCAAUCUGACAUUUAGAAACUGAAUGUUUGUAUGUGUGCAAAAGAGAAACUAAAGUACAUUCUUCCUAAUGUCUGGCUACUUUAUCAGAAGAGCACUUUAUAUCUUUUAAGGAGCUAGCAGGCUAUUACAUAUGACUAAUAUAUCAAAUUCCAAUGCAGCUUUUAUUCAAAGUUUAAUAGAGAUAAUUGUAACAUAAAAGCUACCCUCUAGAUCUUAUAAUUAAAAGGACGAGAGCCUUAGAGUCAUAAGGAAGGUAAAGUUAAUUACUUACUUGUGUGCAGAACAAGUCCAUAAUCUUAAGUGGCAGCCAAUUUAUAGGUUUGAAUUCCUGAAUGCUAAGGUAUUAGGAGAGUCAUUUCAACUUCUUAUGAUAAUUUCUUCAUAUAAUUAUGAUUAGACCAUUAGAUAUCAUUUAAUUUACUAUGCCACUUCCCAACACGGCCCUUUCUCUAUGGUUUUAUUUACCAGAGCAAAGAUUUCAGGCACUAAUAUUGUCUGAAAGCUUACAGUAAAUCUAAGCAACAGAGAUGUUUUACAGUCAGCGGUAGCAGAAAACAAAAAGUGUGAGUACUGAGAUACUUUUUAGUAAAUACAAAAUUUGGUGAAGAAUUUUUUCUUAUUCUGCAAUAUUAGCUUUACUCUGUGUAUACUCUAUGGAUAAAGUUAAGAUUGAAAUUAAAAAUAAAUACAUGUGGUUUUGACAGAAACUGAAUCACAAGCCAGAUAUGGAAAAACUAUCUAUCUGUGGUGGAUUUUUUGAGCAUGAUAAAAAAAUCUUGCUCAUGUCUUAGCAGUCAUAAUACAACCAGA
ensembl:lncRNA